UAACCUUGACUGGGGUCAUAUCUGCAGCUACCGCCAUCUGACAGUGAGCGAAGAAACUGCAAGGAGAUGAUUAGAGGACCAGAGAUUCACAGAGUUCAUGGCCCUUGCAGGAAGAUACGUGAACAACACCAUCACCAGAUAUAUCAGCAGAAAACCUUUGCUGGUAUAGGCUGAUGUGUAAAAGUCAAGGGCACCGAUUCAGGACUGAAAGAUGCUUGGUGCUCUGGCCCCAUCCUAGGAAGGUGAACAGGCCAUGGAGAUGAGCUAGACGGUCACAUUUUGUAGGUAUGAGACCUACAAGCUGUAUCCCUUGGGAUCACAAGUGUGGCAUGAGCAAACAUCUAUUUACUCCAGACAAGGCACCAGGGACAGCCCAAAGAAACAAUUGCAUCAAUCUACCUUGGUGAACCAAUGAAUCUAACUGGAGCUAUUUACAGGAGCAUAGGUAAGGGGUUAUUUACAAGGGCGUGAGCAACUUAUGGGCAGAUACAUUACUCCUUGCCUCCUUUCCAGCAAUUGCUAACCCAACUGUUUAUAUAUCCUUAGGGUGGGAGAGGCCUAGUGGGUCACCCCCUCUCCCAACUCACACAGGAGUG
rnacentral:lncRNA from 1 species